rnacentral:misc_RNA from 1 species
UCCGUUUUGUCAACGGCAGUCUCAAUAGAGUGCCCGGCCGAACCGCUGGCAACUAUUGAUAAGGGUUGCGCUCGUUGCGGGACUCAACCCAACAUCUCACGACACGAGCUGACGACAGCCAUGCACCACCUGUGACGGUGCCCAAAGGGAGGAUGUGUUUCCACACCUGUCACCGACAUGUCAAGCCCAGGUAAGGUUCUUCGCGUUGCGUCGAAUUAAACCACAUGCUCCACUGCUUGUGCGGGUCCCCGUCAAUUCUUUUGAGUUUCACCCUUGCGGGCGUACUUCCCAGGCGGCAUACUUAACGCGUUCGUUACGGCACAACCGGGGUUGAGUCCGGUUACACCAAGUAUGCAUCGUUUACGGCUAGGACUAC